UGAAAUAUUGCAGGAAUUACCAAACUGUGACACAGAGACACCAAGUGAGCAAGCACUCUUAGAAGAUGAGGCACCAGUAGACUUGCUCAGUGCACGGUUGCCACAAACCUUCAAUUUGUUGAAAAACACACUAUCUGUCAAGCACAAUAAAGCAAAGGACAAUGUAUCCUGUUGUACUGCGAUGAUUUUAUAUUGUCACUGAAAGAUUUUACUGAAAUAAUUGCAAGGAAAAUAGAUCGAUUCCGUCUGGAGAUGCGGAAACACCUUGCUGACCCGAGGACUGUCGGUGAUCUCAGUGGGGGGGAGAAAAUGGAGGAAGUACCAGGAAAUGGUUUAAUGUUGCUCCAGGUUUUCAGAAAUAACGAGGAAGCAGAUCCGCACAGAGCACACACUUGAGUAGCCUUCUGGAAGACGUAAUUAAAGAAAUGGCCUGCGAGCCCGAGACAGGAGGCAGUUUGCGAGGAACGACGUCACAGCCCCUCCAUAUCUCCACCUCGCCGCUGGAGCUGCCAUAUGACCGGGAUUCUGGACAUGGCUGAUGAGUAAAUAAAACUGUUGAAACAAGCA